GGCGGCGGCGAGGCCGUUCACCUAGCCGCCAUUUUGAGCAGUGGGCUCUGAGGAGAGACAGUCGCGGCUGGAGCACCUCGUCUUCUCCUUCCUUCACCAUGUCGCGGGAUCGGUUCCGUAGCCGUGGCGGCGGGGGAGGCGGCUUUCACCGGCGAGGAGGCGGUGGCGGCCGCGGAGGCCCGAACCACGAUUUCCGCUCUCCGCCGCCCGGCAUGGGUAUGGGCCAGAACCGCGGCCCCAUGGGGGGCGGCCCGCAGGGCCCCGGCGGCCCGCCGGGCGGAGGCCCCAAACCCGAGCCUCCGAAGCCGCCCGUCUCGACCACCGCUCCGCCUUCCUCAUCUUCGGCCGCUGCCACCACGGCGGGGCCUGCCGGCAGCCAGGGCGGCCCAGGGGCGCCUCCGCCAUCCGCGCUGCCCGCGGGGCAGCCACCGCAGCAGCAGGCCCAGGUGUCCGCUCCCCCCUCGACUCCCUCCGGCCCGGGCGGGCAGCAGCAGCCGCAGCCGAAGCCGAGCCCCAGCCCCACCCCCGCCGGCGGCCCUAAGAAAGGACAAGGACAAUCGCCCGGCGGAGGGCCCAAGGGACCGGGCGGCCCUCCGCAGGGGCCGGGCGGGCCGCACAAGGGCGGGCCGGGGCACCGCGGCGGCCCGGGCGGGGAGCCGCGCGGCCGUGGGCAGCAGCACCAGGGACAGCAGAGCCUCUCCUCGCAGCAGGGCCCGGGCGGCGGCGGCGAGAAGCUCUCGGACGAGGGCUUUAAAGCAAACCUGUCUCUUCUGAGGCGGCCUGGGGAGAAGACCUAUACUCAGCGUUGCCGUUUGUUCGUUGGGAAUUUGCCUGCUGAUAUCACAGAUGAAGACUUUAAAAGAUUGUUUGCCAAAUAUGGAGAGCCAGGAGAGGUUUUUAUCAAUAAGGGGAAAGGAUUUGGCUUCAUUAAAUUGGAAUCCAGAGCUCUUGCAGAAAUUGCAAAAGCAGAAUUGGAUGAUACCCCUAUGAGGGGUCGACAGCUUCGUGUUCGAUUUGCCACACAUGCUGCUGCUCUUUCAGUGCGUAAUCUUUCACCCUAUGUGUCCAACGAGUUACUGGAGGAAGCUUUUUCCCAGUUUGGUCCAGUGGAAAGAGCUGUUGUGAUUGUGGAUGAUCGAGGCAGAUCAACAGGAAAAGGCAUUGUUGAAUUUGCAUCAAAACCAGCUGCAAGAAAAGCAUUUGAACGGUGUACUGAAGGAGUGUUUUUGUUGACAACCACUCCCAGGCCAGUUAUAGUGGAACCACUGGAGCAACUGGAUGAUGAAGAUGGUCUUCCAGAAAAGCUUGCCCAGAAGAAUCCAAUGUAUCAAAAGGAAAGAGAGACUCCUCCUCGUUUUGCUCAGCCUGGCAGUUUUGAAUUUGAAUAUUCCCAGAGGUGGAAAUCUUUAGAUGAAAUGGAAAAACAGCAGAGAGAACAAGUGGCAAAAAACAUGAAAGAUGCCAAGGAUAAACUUGAAAGUGAGAUGGAAGAUGCUUAUCAUGAACAUCAGGCAAACCUCUUGCGUCAAGACCUCAUGAGGCGUCAGGAAGAACUGAGACGUAUGGAAGAACUUCAUAAUCAAGAAAUGCAGAAGCGCAAGGAAAUUCAGCUGAGGCAGGAGGAGGAGCGUCGCAGACGGGAAGAGGAAAUGAUGAUACGUCAGCGAGAAAUGGAAGAACAAAUGAGAAGACAGAGGGAAGAGAAUUAUAGUAGAAUGGGUUACAUGGAUCCAAGAGAGAGAGACAUGAGAAUGGGUGGUGCCACCACAAUGAACAUGGGAGAUCCUUAUGCUUCUGCAGCCCAGAAAUUUCCACCUCUCGGAGGUGGUGGCGGCAUAGGUUAUGAAGCUAAUCCAGGAGUUGGCCAAGCAGCCAUGAGUGGUUCUAUGAUGGGAAGUGACAUGCGUCCUGAACGCUUUGGGCAGGGAGGUGCGGGGCCUGUGGGUGGCCAGGGUCCUAGAGGAAUGGGGCCUGGAACGCCAACAGGAUAUGGUAGAGGGAGAGAAGAAUAUGAAGGCCCAAACAAAAAGCCCCGAUUUUAGAUGUGACCUGUAGUUUCAUUCCAGUUUGUUUUUGUCUGUCUUGUUUAGACACCAACUUUUUAAUUCUUGCAUUUUAGUAAGAAAGCUAAGUUUUUAUGGAUGUUAGAAACUUACUGACCUAAUAUUUGUAAGUGGUCUGUUUGGGCGAGUACAAUUUAAUUAUGUAAUGCAGUGUUUCAAAACAAAUUUAGCUGUUUUUUUGAUGUAUAACGUCCCUAACUUGAUGGCAGUGUACCUUGUGCCACUGAAUUCCCAAAGUGUACCAACUUUUUUUUACUGUGCUUCAAAUAAAUAGAAAACUAAAUGUAAUUCUUCUUGCCAUUAAUGGUUAAAAAUAUGAGGCUAAAUACCACGCCUUUAGCAGUAAACCAAAUGAGUCUUGCAAUUGAGGUUGUUAAACUAGAGCAGGGUGUGGAAAAGUAGUGAAGUGAGAUUUUCGCCCAUAAUUCUCUGCCUCUAGUUUAAGAUGGGGUCAAAUAGCCUAAUUUUCUAGUAGGUACAGAUUUUUGAGCAUUAAUUGUGCUGCAAUAAGGAAGCAAAUGGAAAUCUUGAAAGUGCUGUAAGAUACAGUAGUGAAAGCUACACUGCAAUUGAUGAUGCAGUCCUGUAAUGAAUUCUGGAUUUUAGCCAUGGAUAAUGGGUGGUGGGAUGGUAGUACGUACCACCUUGGCAUUUACUGCUUGAAAUCUUGUAAAGACUUUAAGCAGAAGAGUAGAAUGGUUAUUUUAAAAUAAAUCCAUAGAAUGCCUUGUACUGACUGACUUCCUAAUUAAAGGAUUGCUAAUGUGAUAUUUAUCUGCUGUUAAGCUGCCUGAGAUUACAGGAUCUGGCCUUAUUCAGUAUUGUAUGCCUAUCUGAAAUCGCUUAGCAAAAACACCAGAAGUGUUAUUUAAGCGAAUAGAGGAUAAUCUGUUAAUUUUAUACUCUUAACUUGCUUAUGUCCUCAUGCUAAUUGAGUGGACUAGUUUGCAUAGUUCAGAAUUCAAUUACUUUAUUAAGGUGGCUGUAGAAAGUAGUCUUAAACUUUGUAGCUUGUGGAUAAAAUUGAAAAAGCUGUAUACAAAAUACAGAAAUUAGCAUUCUUGCAUGAUGGUUAUCACUACUUUAUUAUUGAUUGGAGAAAAUUCAUCAAAAGUAGUAUCUAAAUCUGGAAUUCAAUAGUUAAUACUGCGCAGUACAAAUAAACUCCCUUUAAGGUUUUUUUUAUAGAAGAUCGGAUGAAUUUGGUAGCUUGCUGUCAAUUUCAUUAAGUUCCAGAAGAUUUUCAAAAUGUUCUGGACUCAUUGGUAUAAGGUAGUUACUUUGCUUUUUUAUUAUAUUGUACCAAAUAAGCUGGGAACUUGCUUUCCCAGUGUUAAAAUGCCUUUGUGUUAAUGCAGGAUACCUCAACCUGCUUGGCACACAGUAGGUAAACUUAGUGUGGCUGUACCUUCACACAAUUCCCCAACUGUUGAGCAUUCUGUGAAUAGCUUUGAAUCUUCUGAAGAUCUUUCCAUCCCUUGUGCUAAGUAUUGGCUAAUUCUAAAUUCUAUGUUAAUUUUUUUCUGUGGUUAAAACUUCAGUCGGUUUGCAAUAUCUUAGAGUGCAGAUGAUCCCUCUUCUGAAGUACUCACUGUAAGUGCUGUUACUCCUUAAAUGUAAAAAUAUUAGCAUGUUGUGAAAUUUUGAUACCAGGUAAUGCAGACUUUGAAUAUGAAGUGCACUAAAUAGUGACUCAGCUGGUUUGGUGAAUGUUUCUGUUUUCUCAGAAAAGUUUGGGGGGAGAUAACAUGUUACCACAAUGAAUUGCAACUCAGGAAAUUUUGAACUAGCAGUUCCUAAACUGCAGACCAAGUAUUGGGGAGUCCUUGUAUUGGAUACUUAGCUUAAAAAUCAGCAGUCCAGCUGCAAUUUGUUUUAUUUAAGUAGGUUUAAAUAAUGCAUAUAUUAUCUGGAGGGUGUUCGUGGGACACCCACAAAAGGUGAAGGUGUCUGAGAUGGGGGAAUUCUGAACGUAAACAUUACAUUAAUUUUUUCAGUUUAUUUUUCAGAUUACAUGUCAUUCUUUAUUAAAGAGAUGCUGGUGCAUAUCCUAAAGUAUGUUCUUUUGUAGUUCUAUAACUUUGAAGAGUGAAGGAUGCUGAUGUCCUUGUGCCUUACAGAGGUUGUCUUUUGGUACCCCUGUUUGUACGUAAGCUAUUGUUGCUAGGUAUUAAAAAUAGACUAGUUGCAAAACUGAUUGGUAAAUCUCAUGAAAGAUUUGGCAGUUUUCAAAACAUCUGAAAGUUUGGUUAAAUCUAGCCUGGUAGCAGCAUAAGCAGAAUUUCUAAAACAAACAAGUUCUGCUUUGAGUUGCAUGUAUUAAACAGGUAUUCUGCUAACUAGCCGAUUUGAUUUCAAGGCCUUUUAAAGGUGAUGUCUUAAAAGCUGGCAAACAUAUCAAUUUUAAAAUAUGAUAAAGUUGUUAAAUGGGGGUGGUGAGACAGUUUGGGUUCCUUUGAUCUGUACCUAUGAGGUUUUGGACCUUCUCAUAAAAUCAGAUUCAUCUAAUUGAUUUUUUUAAAACUAUUUAGAAAAGUGCUUGGUUGGUCAGACCUAUUUUUGGAUGGUCUGGAUCACAACAUUUUUGUACUGGACUUGGAGGACAUUGGCUUUUGCAAUUUAGCUUGCUUUAACAAAAUUGAGCCUAUUUUAAGAGUUAUCUCUUAAACUCAGCAGCAUAUAGAAACUGGUAUCUUUAUCUUCACACUUUCUCAUAAAUUAAUACAGAAUCGAAUCUUUUGGUGUAGAUACAUCACACUACCUAAUUAUAUAUACAGCUGAUGAGAAACUGAAACUGCUUUUGAGAUUUUGUGGUAUUUUUAUGGUAGAAAGAAUUCUUGGCUUCUCCUUGGCAACCAUUUACUGUGGCAGCAAAUUUUUGCUGGAGUUUUUGAGACUGCAAUUUACACUUAAAACUAGUGGCCUGCUACGUAACUGCACUUAGCCAGCAUUUCUGCAGUUCAUAACUGUGAGGAACGUAGUACCACAAAUGGCAAUGGACAUUAGGACCCGGAUGUAGUAUUCCUGCUUGCUCCAAGAUUCUCAUUGCCGACUGCAUACAGGUGAAGAUGCAAGCUGAAUGAAACCACUGUGCUCAUCCAUGGGAGUUAAGGAGCUGAGCAUGAGCACAUCCAGCAUGAUGUCCAGUGAUGUGUGGAGGGAUCAAGAUAACAAGUGAACAAAAGAAGAUGGAGUCCAAAUGCAGUGAAGAGGAGCAAGGAACAUAAUAGUAUUUUUUUAAAAAUAAAAUAUUUAAGUUUUCUUAUAAA